GACCCGUUCUGAAGCACGGACCAAGGAGUCUAACACGCGCGCGAGUCGCAGGGUCUUCGAAACCCGGGGGCGCAGUGAAAGUGAUCGCGACGUCCGCAUCGCUCCGGGCGAGAGGGCUCCCUCGACCGGGGGCCCGCAUCGCCGGCCCGUUCGAUUCGGCUUCGGCCGUAGGGCGGAGUCCGAGCGCGCGCGUUGGGACCCGAAAGAUGGUGAACUAUGCUUGAGUCGGGCGAAGCCAGAGGAAACUCUGGUGGAGGCCCGUGGCGCUUCUGACGUGCAAAUCGAUCGUCGAACUUGAGUAUAGGGGCGAAAGACUAAUCGAACCGUCUAGUAGCUGGUUCCGUCCGAAGUUUCCCUCAGGAUAGCUGGCGCUCGAGGGAGCAGUUUUAUCCGGUAAAGCGAAUGAUUAGAGGCCUUGGGGCCGAAACGAUCUCAACCUAUUCUCAAACUUUAAAUGGGUAAGAGGACCGUCCCGCCUGAUCGGGGUCGGUCUCUGUAUCAACAGCGAAUGCGAGUGCCCAGUGGGCCACUUUUGGUAAGCAGAACUGGCGCUGUGGGAUGAACCAAACGUCCGGUUAGAGGGCCGAUCUAUGACGCUCAUCGGACACCAUAAAAGGUGUUGGUCGAUAUAGACAGCAGGACGGUGGCCAUGGAAGUCGGAAACCGCCAAGGAUCGUGUAACAACCCACCUGCCGAAUCGACUAGCCCUGAAAAUGGAUGGCGCUCGAGCGUCGGCCUCAUACCGGACCGUCUCGGCAGAUGCAGCCCCUUAAACCGCUAGCGUACGCCGGGACGAGUAGGACGGACGCCGGGCUGGCGGCGAAGGUCGCGGCGAAAGCCGGGCUGGAGCCGGCCCGGGUGCAGAUCUUGGUGGUAGUAGCAAAUAUUCAAACGAGAACUUUGAAGACUGAAGUGGAGCAGGGUUCCAUGUGAACAGCAGUUGAACAUGGGUCAGUCGAUCCUAAGCUAUAGCCUAAUGGCGUUCCGAACGGGCCUUGGUCGCGCCUCGCGCGCGUCACUCGGCCGUAGGCUGGCGAAAGGGAAUGCGGUUAACAUUCCGCAACCGUCCGACCGGUACCCCGGCCGCGGUCCUUAACGGGGCCGGUUAACGGCCGGCCGAAGGGGUAACCCGACCGACCCGGGAGACGCCGUCGGAAGCCUCGGGAAGAGUUGUCUUUUCUUUGUUAGGACCGUGCCGACCUGGAAACGUCUCGUACGGAGAGAGGCCGGCGUUCGAUAGGUCCGUAAAGCACCGCGGCUCUUGCGGUGUCCGAAGCGCUUCCGUUGUGCCUUGAAAAUCCCGGCGAGGGCAGUGUGUAUCUUGGCGGACGGCCGUACCCAUAUCCGCAGCAGGUCUCCAAGGUGAGCAGCCUCUGGUAAAUCCGAAGCUGUGCAUCAGAGAAAUUGCGCAUAGUCAGCUGCCCUGUCUCUACAGCAUUUUUAAACCUGGUAUAUACAUGUACACCUGAAGAGGGUUCUAAGUGAAAAUAAAAUGGUGGAAAUGGUACUUUAAUGUUUGUUUUAAGAAUUGAAACGAUUAGAAAUCCUAAACCUGCUAAAUAGGGUACAGGAAGUUUGGGCAAGGGAGGUUAGGUAGGUAUAGGAGAUAGGUGGUUUUGGCAUGGGUGGUUGAGCAGGGCAGAUUAGGUACGGACAGGGGAGGGCAUGUUUUGGGUAGGGGCGCACAUU
rnacentral:rRNA from 1 species